UCCAGAUUUCUACAUGCAAUACACUUCAAAUAUAUUGUGUGCAGGAAAGAGCAACCACACGUCUCAAUAUUUGAUGUGUACAGCAUUAAAGAAUUACAAUUAAUGGGAAGACUAUAAAAAGUCAGUGGGGGCUGUCAAAAGGGAACAGAGCAAUACAAACUGAGGAAAAACAGAGCAGGAGAAGAAGUCUAAGAAGAGGACGGUAACUUGUUUGUUUGCAACAACAAGAACCCUUAUUUGCAAUGGGGCUGAAAUACAGAGUUCUGAAAAACUCUACAAUUAUUAGUUCUCUUGUAUUCCUUUUUGCCUUUGUCAAUAAGGUUGAAUUUUUUGUGCAAUCCAUGCCCUAUGUGUCUUGUUCUUUUGUUUGGAGAGGAACGAAAGAGACGAAGAGGAGUUAGCAAAAACCAUCGUCAUUUAACUUCCCCUCAGCAUCACUUUAUAUGAACCCUACUGCUGAGAACUACUGAAGUGAUAAUUACUUCAAUGUGGCCGGGGUUGGGUAAGCCCAUCAUGCACAACCUUCCUAAGUCUAACAUCUCCCACUCGCCACUUGGGCUUGUAGCCCAGUGGUGGACUAUUGCCCUCAAAGUUAAGUAUGACUACGAGGACAAUGGUUCGAGUCCCCACGGACUCAACUUUCCUCAAUUAAAUAUAAUUGUGUGGAGAUUUCUUAUAACGUCUUUCUCCCUUGCGAAAUGCGAGUGGAGUAGAGACAUCCCUCAUCCGUGAGAGAUAUUUGGAUGGACAUGUACUUCAUAGAAUAAAAAUGUAAUAAUAUAAGUCUCAUGUAUUUAUAUAUGAUUGUAAAUAUCAGUGUAAUGACCUGCUGUCAUAACAGUUGUAUAUAUCUCUAUGUAAUAAAGUAACCUGAUGCUUAAUCAGUUUCAAAAAAAAAAAAAAAAAAAAACAUCUCCCACUCGUACAUGAGGGGAUGACAUUAUCCAUCAAUGCAUCAGAAAGAACUAUAACCAUUAGCACGUGUUGCAAUAUUCACACAGACAAAUAGACCGUGUGACCAAUGAAUACAUAAUUAAAAAACUUAUUGGAGCUAUGAGAUCUCAAUUGUAACUAUAUACAAGAGAUUCUCUUAUUUAUUCAUUACGUGCUAGAUUUAAUAUGUUACAUCAAUUAAAUUAGAAACUCCUAAAAUAUAGACAAUUUUGUCCAUAUUUCUGAGGAAAAAAAAGCCAUUUUUCACGGUCUUGACAAACUCUUCAUUUUUCCUAACCAUCUAAAUGUUAUCAUCAUCUUUGAUCUUUUAAUCAUGCAAGUAAUGGUUUCUUUAAUCAUCUAAACCUUGUAAUAAAUUAUAGUUUCAUGAAAUUUAAGAUACAAUUUUUCGAGAAUUGCUAUAAACAUUAUAUAUCUAGAUCUUUUUAGGGGUGCAUACUCUGCCCUCAAGACAUUUAACAACAAUACCAAGUAGUUUCUCUGUCGUCUACAAAAUCAAGGCAUUACAGUUAAGGAAUCAUAUUAUACCAUGAUCAUAUUUUUAAAUCAAUAAAACUUGUUUCCGUGGAUUUCAAACGUAUUGGAAAAAAAAAAAAAAACACACUAAGCUGGUUCUGAUACCAAUGCCAGAAUAUAUAGCAUGCUCCAUGAAUUCAAAAACAAUUACCUGAAUUCUUAUCUGUUGCAUGUGAAAGCGGAUGCGGAAGUGGAAGAACCAAGGUUGAAUCACAGUUCAAUUUGAUCGGAAAUCACAAAUUCGGAAAGCUUUCUCAAAUUACAAUUUAAGACUUACUUGAAAUGAAUUAUAGAGUUCUCAAAAACUAUCUAAUUAUUAUUUCUCUUGCAUUCCUCUCUGCCUUUACCUAUAAGGUUGCAUUCUUUAUAAUCCAUGCUCUCUGCAUCUUGUUACUUUGCUAGGAGAGAAGAUUAAAGAGAGGAAGAGAAAUUAGCAAAAUUCAACAUCAUUCAACUUCCCCUCAACUUUUCUUUAUAACUACGCUACUGGUAGAAAUUACCGAAGUGGUAUUUACUUCAAUAUAGGUUGGAUCGGGGCAGCCCAUCAUGGGCACCCUAUUCGACAACCUGCCAAGAUCUAAUACAAAGUAGGGGUCUGGUUCAGACUCCAGAGUUUUAU
rnacentral:lncRNA from 1 species